UACAGAGGGUGCAAGCGUUGUUCGGAAUUAUUGGGCGUAAAGGGCAAGUAGGUGGUCUUAAAAGUCUACUGUGAAAUCCCUGGGCUUAACCCAGGAAGUGCGGUGGAUACUCUAAGACUUGAGUGCCGGAGGGGUGCGUGGAAUUCCGAGUGUAGCGGUGAAAUGCGUAGAUAUUCGGAGGAACACCAGAGGCGAAAGCGGCGCACUGGACGGCAACUGACACUCAAUUGCGAAAGCGUGGGGAGCAAACAGG
rnacentral:rRNA from 1 species